GAUCCCCCACACUGGUACUGAGACACGGACCAGACUCCUACGGGAGGCAGCAGUGAGGAAUAUUGGACAAUGGGCGCAAGCCUGAUCCAGCCAUGCCGCGUGCAGGAAGACGGUCCUAUGGAUUGUAAACUGCUUUUAUACAGGAAGAAACACCUCUACGUGUAGAGGCUUGACGGUACUGUAAGAAUAAGGAUCGGCUAACUCCGUGCCAGCAGCCGCGGUAAUACGGAGGAUCCAAGCGUUAUCCGGAAUCAUUGGGUUUAAAGGGUCCGUAGGCGGCCUUAUAAGUCAGUGGUGAAAUCUCCUAGCUCAACUAGGAAACUGCCAUUGAUACUGUAGGGCUUGAAUUAUUAGGAAGUAACUAGAAUAUGUAGUGUAGCGGUGAAAUGCUUAGAUAUUACAUGGAAUACCAAUUGCGAAGGCAGGUUACUACUAAUUGAUUGACGCUGAUGGACGAAAGCGUGGGUAGCGAACAGGAUUAGAUACCCUGGUAGUCCACGCCGUAAACGAUGGAUACUAGCUGUUCGGAGCAAUCUGAGUGGCUAAGCGAAAGUGAUAAGUAUCCCACCUGGGGAGUACGAACGCAAGUUUGAAACUCAAAGGAAUUGACGGGGGCCCGCACAAGCGGUGGAGCAUGUGGUUUAAUUCGAUGAUACGCGAGGAACCUUACCAGGGCUUAAAUGUAGAUUGACAGGUUUAGAGAUAGACUUUUCUUCGGACAAUUUACAAGGUGCUGCAUGGUUGUCGUCAGCUCGUGCCGUGAGGUGUCAGGUUAAGUCCUAUAACGAGCGCAACCCCUGUCGUUAGUUGCCAGCGAGUCAUGUCGGGAACUCUAACGAGACUGCCAGUGUAAACUGUGAGGAAGGUGGGGAUGACGUCAAAUCAUCACGGCCCUUACGCCUUGGGCCACACACGUGCUACAAUGGACGGUACAGAGAGCAGCUACUGGGUGACCAGAUGCGAAUCUUCAAAACCGUUCUCAGUUCGGAUCGAAGUCUGCAACUCGACUUCGUGAAGCUGGAAUCGCUAGUAAUCGGAUAUCAGCCAUGAUCCGGUGAAUACGUUCCCGGGCCUUGUACACACCGCCCGUCAAGCCAUGGAAGCUGGGGGUACCUGAAGUCGGUGACCGCAAGGAGCUGCCUAGGGUAAAACUGGUAACUAGGGCUAAGUCGUAACAAGGUAGCCGUACCGGAAGGUGCGGCUG
rnacentral:rRNA from 1 species